ensembl:misc_RNA Y_RNA Y RNA
AGCUGGUGUGAAAGUAGUGCGUUAUCGAAAUUGAUUUUUCACAGUCAGUUAUUAAUUGAACUCUUUGUUCUACCCUUUCCCCUCCUGUUGCUACCGCAAUUCACUAGUCUAAA